AUAGCACUAACGCUCUUUGUCGCCCCGCGCUACAGCUGUGGAUAGACAUCCACUGGCCCGACUGGCCUCCUCACCUCUCUCUCAUUUCUCUCUCUCUCUCUCUCUCCCACGCGAUCCCCAAAUCGCCGCCCCUGCCGCUGGCCUCCCCUGCCAACUCCGGCGAGCUCUGGCGCCGUCCAGCAUACGCACAGCUCCCCCUCACUGAGUUCUACCUGAUCCACCUCUUCGAUCUGCUUUCCCCUGCCUCGUGUGGUCGCUCGCUUCGGUCAAACCUUGCUAGGGUUUCGGUGCUUGCCGGGCUAGGUCGCCGGCGUGGUUCCGGCGCCUUGCUCUUGUGUGACUCACCUCCUGGCUGUGCCUAGGUGUUGCACGCGUCACUGAUGCGGCCCAGUGGUCGCUGGCGAUGCGGCGGUCGCCUGCCUCUCCACGGCUUCGCGUACCUCCCCUCCUGCCGUCAUGUGACGACGGUGAGUUGGCCACACCGCAACCGUGGCGGUGGCGAUGCACGGCCUCGGCUAUAACCCCUUCAUGGUGAGCUUCUCCUUCUCUGCCCAAUUGCUGCCUCUACUGCCUAGACCAUGGCCGUGGUGAUCUUGGUCUUCUUCGUGUACUGGUAAUAUGACUUAGGUUUUUGAGGACGCUUGGAUUGAUGGCUAUGGUCUGCUACUUGAUUUGUGCUUUACUGAAAUUAGUUGGGGUAGUUGGUUACUGUUUAGGGUUCAUAUUUGGGCCUAGAUUUGUUGAUGUGCUAAUGCUCCGGUUGAUCCACUAGUCCAUACUCUAGUUCUAGUUCAUGCCUACGGAAUCGUCAUUGGGGAUUUGGUGCUGCUGGUGGUCCUAUGUGCACUUGUUUGAUAUACUAGCAUUGUAUCCUUAAUUGACAGUUAAACCAUUAACCUACCAUGCAUAUAGAUGUGUUCAUGUGGAAUUGAUGCUACUCUAACUCUGUGAUCAACUUGUGGUCAUGAUCUAGUUCUGGUUGUAGUUCUUGUUAUUUAAAUGUUCCUUUUAUUUCAGUUUCUCUUGCUGCAUGCUUAUAUUCUUGUUGGCCGUCUCUGUGUUCAAUACAUAUUAGUUUUUAUUUAAAUACCAUGUACUGGUAUUUCUUGUUCUGUUUAGUACAUCAUCUUUUAGUGGUUUAGUUGUAUAUUGCACAUCACAUAGUCAUGGUAGUUGCAUGUGGUGACACUUCUUUUAUUGCUUUAGUUAUAUCAGAUGUUUCUUUUACAUGCUUAGUAAUUAACAGUAUCAUUGGUUUAAAUGAUAUAGCCCUUUAUUUAUAGAUACUUAUAUUGCUUUACCUGGUUCAGUUUAGAAUAGAUGCUCUCUUGGUCUUAGCUUUUCUCUCUUCCUUUCUUUCCUCCUCUUCUAAACUCUACUGAUAAGAACAGUUGCUCCUUGAUCUUAACCAAGCCCAUGAUGCUGGUCUGAGGCUCCUUGACCUUAACGACUUGGCUCUCCAAGCAACAAAAUCAGUUCAGCAUCGCUCUUGGAUCCUCUUUCUUGCUUAUUGGCAGUUUUCUUCGAUAGUUUUGUUUUGCCAUUGCUACCAGUCAUCAGAUUUUGGUAAGUUAUCUAACACUGCUGUUAGAGUCCAGAUGCGCCUUUUAGGUUUAGGAGCACCGCUGUCUAGCUCAGCAGGCGAGAGCUCUAAGUGUUGUUAUGUCUGAAAUUCCAUGGACAACCUUGUUUUGUUGGCAUAGUUAUUACUAGCCAUGCUCGGCAGUAUGACACACAUUGUGGCCGAUGGAUUUCGGUUUUCCUUGUGGUGUAAAAAGAAAUAUGUAUUAGUGUUUUUCCUAUUUAAUUGAUAACUACUUGGAUCGUGGAGGGUGGUGUUGAACGUGUAUGAGUGUUUGAUUUACUUAUUCCUCUCACAGAUGAGGAGAGUAGAAAGUAGCAGUUGGUAUUGCUUCUAGUGUAGCAGGCUAAAGCACUGAUCUUAGAAAAAUAAAUAGGUAUCCUAAACACCAUGAUUGUAAACGUGGAAGUCUGUUGUAUCAAACGAUUAUAUCGAAACGGUUUUGGCAAGAUGUGAUGGUCAACUGCACUAUGUGUGUCUCACUAGUAGUUCUAACAGGUGCUCAUUCUUCCUGAUGGACCGAAAUGCUUUUGUGCAUUACCUGUGUUUACACAGUGUAUUUUUUAUCUGUGGCACUUGCAGACUUGUGAAUCAAUCAGGAUGCAUUUACAAUCUUGAUCGUAAAAGCUUUCGUAAGAUAAGCUUGUGUCUAGCUUUGCUUCCUCACUUUGCUUCUAUUAUUCCAAUUAAUUGAAAAGGAUCCAAACAAGGAAGUUCCAUUGUUCUGAGCAGCUCUUAACAGUGGUGAACAAUUGAGAGUGCAUUGAAGGAUAUGGCUACUAUAUUGAAACAAGCAAACCGGGCUGAAGAAGCCAUCGAUGCGAUAAGAUCCUUCUGUGACCGUUGUCCCAAUGAAGCUCGGGAGUCUCUUAACAAUAUUCUUCUUGACCUAUACAAGAAAUGCGGUAGGACAAAAGAAACAGAUUGAAAUGCUGAUAGUGAAGCUGAGAAUGGUUGAUGUGGAUCUAGCUUCUGGCCGGUGGAAAGCAAAGAUUUCUAAGUCUCAUGGAAGAGUAUUAUAUCUCUCUUUGAGGGAUGAAAAGGCAAGGUUGUUGGGUAACCUCGUCUGGGCCUAUAUGCAGCCUGAUAACUAUGAGGAGGCUGAAAUGCUCUACAAGUAUAUAUCUCGGCCCUGAAUUCGGCGUCCACGGCCAAACCCAGUAGGGAACACAUGGACAUGAAGCUAUGGCGGCGACGAAUACGAUAUCGACAUUGGGCUGCGGCGACGAUGAUGACGACAACAUCGGCAUCGACACAGGGUUACGACGGCGACGAAGACGACAUCAACACCAUCAACACGGCCUUGUGGAGGCGCCGACGCCGACGACAUAGACGUGUGGCAUAUAUUGUGUGUGUGUGUGUGUGCGCGCGGCGCGCACGCGUGUGCGUGUGUGCAUGUGCGUGUGUUAAUUAUCUACAUCAGAUAUGUAUGAUUGAUGAUUGAAAUAGGUAGACUUUUUUUUUUUUUUUAAAUCCUAAUUUGUUACUAGUAGCGUGGGUGUAACAUAGAAACGGUACUGAUAUUCCUUUACUAGUAGUUGUGGGUGUGGAAUACUAGUAGCAUGGGGCACCAGCGCUACUGGUAUGUCUAUUUAGCAGUAGCGUGGGGUAAAACACACGCUACUGCUAAAAAAUAGUUGUAGCGUCAUAGCAGUAGCAUGAGAACCUACGCUACUGGUAGUCCAAAAACCCAUGCUACUGGUAAGGUUCUUUCUAGUAGUGUUCAUCACCUGUUGCAGCUCCCUGGCUCGCCGUGGAAGCAUCCUUCCUCAUCUGUUCCAGCACUCUGGGUUGCCGGUAGUAGCAAAACGGCGCACCGGUUGCAGCUCUCCACAUAGAUGAUUCUAGCAUCCCC
rnacentral:rRNA from 1 species